UACAGAGGGUGCGAGCGUUAAUCGGAAUUACUGGGCGUAAAGCGUGCGUAGACGGUAGCGUAAGUCAGAUGUGAAAGCCCCGGGCUCAACCUGGGAAUUGCAUUUGAGACUGCUCUGCUCGGGUGCGGAAGAGGGAAGCGGAAUUUCCGGUGUAGCGGUGAAAUGCGUAGAUAUCGGAAGGAACAUCAGUGGCGAAAGCGGCUUCCUGGUCCAGCACCGACGUCAGGCACGAAAGCGUGGGGAGCAAACAGG
rnacentral:rRNA from 1 species